rnacentral:tRNA from 1 species
GGGAGUGUGACUUAGUGGUAGAGUGCUUGCCUAGCACGCAUGAAGCCACGGGUUCGAUUCCUCAGUACCU